GACGAACGCUGGCGGCGUGCUUAACACAUGCAAGUCGAACGGAAAGGCCUGCUUUCCCUUGUGGAUUGCGGGUGCUCGAGUGGCGAACGGGUGAGUAACACGUGAGUGAUCUGCCCCCAACUUGGGUAUAAGCCUGGGAAACUGGGUCUAAUUCCCGAUAGGACUGCAGGGUGGUGCCUGUGGUGGAAAACGAUUUUCUAGUGGUUGGGGAUGAGCUCGCGGCCUAUCAGCUUGUUGGUGGGGUAAUGGCCUACCAAGGCGGCGACGGGUAGCCGGCCUGAGGGGGUGGACGGGCACAUUGGGACUGAGAUACGGCCCAGACGCCUACGGGAGGCAGCAGUGGGGAAUAUGGCACAAUGGGCGGAAGCCUGAUGCAGCGAGGCCGCGUGGGGGAUGACGGCCUUCGGGUUGUAAACUCCUUUCGACCGCGAGGAAGCCGCCUGGUUGGAAGGGUGGUGACGGUAGCGGUAGAAGAAGCACCGGCUAACUACGUG
rnacentral:rRNA from 1 species